rnacentral:rRNA from 1 species
GAUGAACGCUGGCGGCGUGCCUAAUACAUGCAAGUCGAGCGAACAGACGAGGAGCUUGCUCCUCUGACGUUAGCGGCGGACGGGUGAGUAACACGUGGAUAACCUACCUAUAAGACUGGGAUAACUUCGGGAAACCGGAGCUAAUACCGGAUAAUAUAUUGAACCGCAUGGUUCAAUAGUGAAAGACGGUUUUGCUGUCACUUAUAGAUGGUUCCGCGCCGCAUUAGCUAGUUGGUAAGGUAACGGCUUACCAAGGCAACGAUGCGUAGCCGACCUGAGAGGGUGAUCGGCCACACUGGAACUGAGACACGGUCAAGACGCCUAAGGGAGGCAGCAGUAGGGAAUCUUCCGCAAUGGGCGAAAGCCUGACGGAGCAACGCCGCGUGAGUGAUGAAGGUCUUCGGAUCGUAAAACUCUGUUAUUAGGGAAGAACAAAUGUGUAAGUAACUAUGCACGUCUUGACGGUACCUAAUCAGAAAGCCACGGCUAACUACGUG